rnacentral:rRNA from 1 species
AGAGUUUGAUCCUGGCUCAGAUUGAACGCUGGCGGCAUGCCUUACACAUGCAAGUCGAACGGCAGCACGGGAGCUUGCUCCGUGGUGGCGAGUGGCGAACGGGUGAGUAAUGCAUCGGAACGUGCCCUGAAGUGGGGGAUAACGUAGCGAAAGUUACGCUAAUACCGCAUAUUCUGUGAGCAGGAAAGCAGGGGAUCUUCGGACCUUGCGCUUUUGGAGCGGCCGAUGUCGGAUUAGCUAGUUGGUGGGGUAAAGGCCCACCAAGGCGACGAUCCGUAGCGGGUCUGAGAGGAUGAUCCGCCACACUGGAACUGAGACACGGUCCAGACUCCUACGGGAGGCAGCAGUGGGGAAUUUUGGACAAUGGGCGCAAGCCUGAUCCAGCCAUGCCGCGUGAGUGAAGAAGGCCUUCGGGUUGUAAAGCUCUUUCGGUGGGGAAGAAAUUGCUUGGGUUAAUACCCUGAGUAGAUGACGGUACCCGCAUAAGAAGCACCGGCUAACUACGUG